rnacentral:rRNA from 1 species
AAACAUCGCCUCUUGCAAACUUAAUAAAUAAGAGGUCCCGCCUGCCCUGUGACUAUUAGUUUAACGGCCGCGGUAUUUUGACCGUGCGAAGGUAGCGCAAUCACUUGUCUUUUAAAUGAAGACCUGUAUGAAUGGCAUAACGAGGGCUUAACUGUCUCCUCCCUCCAGUCAGUGAAAUUGAUCUUCCCGUGCAGAAGCGGGAAUACAAACAUAAGACGAGAAGACCCUAUGGAGCUUUAGACACCAAGGCAGAUCAUGUUAAUAGUCCUGCAUAAGGGGAUAAACCAAAUGGAAUCUGCCCUAAUGUCUUUGGUUGGGGCGACCGCGGGGAAUUAGAAAACCCCCACGUGGAAUGGGAGCACCCCUCCUACAACUAAGGGCGACAGCUCUAGUAAACAGAAAUUCUGACCAGUAAGAUCCGGCAGCGCCGAUCAACGGACCGAGUUACCCUAGGGAUAACAGCGCAAUCCUCUUUUAGAGCCCAUAUCGACAAGGGGGUUUACGACCUCGAUGUUGGAUCAGGACAUCCUAAUGGUGCAGCCGCUAUUAAGGGUUCGUUUGUUCAACGAUUAAAGUCCUACGUGAUCUG